GCUCUAGGGCUAAAGUGCCCCGGUGGUGCCCAUUUCAGACACGGGGUGGUCCAGGGAACACGGCGGGGGCACAGGUAGGGCUUUCUGGACAAGGUGCAGCAAAUCAGGAGAAAACCCAGUUCUGACCCCCAGUUCCUUACUCAGUGGCUGUUUUCAGGGCCUGUCCCUCCUGCAGUGUCCAGAAGGGGCCACCGGCAGGUCAGCCUUGACUUCCAGCUCAGCGUGACCGGUGACCGGUGACCGUCGGCGGACCUCUGACCCCAGCAGAGCUCAGCGUUUCCGAGGACGAGGACGCACCCUUCUGAAUGGAACCCAGGCCUCACCCAUCCUGGGCCGGCACUCCACCAGGAGCUACGCCCCACCCAGGAAGCCCCUCGUAGCCCACAGACCCAGAGCUCUGAGGGUCGGGCUCUGCCUAACUCGGCCUGCAGGCAGAAGGAGCUGUGUGAGGCGACGGAGCAGAAGAAAAAUGAGCGCUGUCCUGUUCUCCCCGGAACCCGUGUGCGCCGGCCUCCCAUGCACAGGAGAGUCAACGCCUCUCUUUGUUUUAAAUUAGUCUGUGUGUGUCUCCAUCACUCUUGACCAAGAGUCCUAAUGAAUUCUGCGUGAUGAUGUCACUUUUCCCCAUGAUGGAGCCGGGCUUCCGAGCUGAGGACCUGAUCCGCUGUGGCCACCCGGCUGCCGCUGGUGGGCCUUGGAGAGACGCCAGGUGUGAGGACGGCACCUCCGCCGUCUCCCCCUUCGCUCAUCCCGAGUCCUCCUCUCCACAUCCCGGGGACAGUGAUUUCUUCUCUGUGUGACCCCUGCGGUUUGGAUUCACAUAGAUCUCGGAGCUCCUGUGACAGCCCCCAUUGCCAUCCCUGCCCGUCACCCCUGAAGUGUGCUUGAAUUUCUCAGACCUUUGUCCCCAACAGGCUCAGAAAAUAUGGUCCCCAUUACCGCACAGCCUCCCUUCGCCGCUCCACUCCUCACUGUCUCGUUAAGAGGGGAGAAAGGCGCAGAGCGCGGGGAGGGCGACAAGGGGCGCCCGGAGUGGGAGGGGACGGCAGACACAAAGGGUGGACAGGUGACAAAGGGCCAGGAAACCAGGUCAGGGGAGGAGGAGGAGGAGGAGGGACGGGAAGAUGCCAAGGGACACCGGCAUCUGGUCCUGUGGCCUCUCUUACUGCCCUCGAUGGCUCCCCAACCCCCAAGGCUCCCUCCCCGGCCAGAGCCCCUGCUUGGCUGACCCUGCCACUCCCCACUGGCAGGCUGUCCAGGUGUCCCUGGGACCGCUCAUGGUCUCAGCGCCCAACACGUCACACGACUCCUGCUGAUUUUCAGGUCCUUCGCUGAUUUUAAAAUCCCAUGCCCAUCUCUAAGAAGAUGGUCUGGCUGCCGCGUGGGGAACAGGCUUCAGGCGGGAAGGUGGCCCGGAGAGGCCAGCGAGGGGCCUCUGUCGGAGUCCCCUCCGUGACUGGAGAUGGGCUGGGCUGUCGGUGGUGGAGGGAGGAGCCGGAUUCCGGAUGAUUCUGGAACAUAGUGGGUGGGGAGUGAAGGAGGGAGAUCCAGGGAGAUGGAGGAAGCGGGUGGCCGUGGGGUCUGCUUGGCCGCUGGUCCCUGGACAGACUGACAGCUUCCCAGCGAGGCCAGGUCUGCUGGGAUGGCAGGAUGACCCCGAGUCCUGGCACACGACCGGGUCUCAGUCCAUAUCUGUUAAGUGAAUGGAUGAAAUCAAGAGAGACACCGAAGGAAAGAGAACGAGGGGGCAAGACAGCACCCAGAGGCCGCCAGAGAGCCCCGGGGACCUCGGCGGCUCUGUCUGGUGGGGGCCUCAUGGGGUGGGCCUCCACGGCUCCAGGCACAGUGACUCGAGGUCUCCUUACCUCUGAGCACGUGGAGGUGGGCACGUUUUCAAGUUGGGAACGGCUUUGCGAUUCUCUCUGAUCAAUAAACUCUGAGCAUACGUUUCUCAUCUGGGCGGCAACUGCAAGAGCUAGUAAAUGAUUUGCUACGUGUCCUCCCACGGUCAGGGGAGCCCAUGUGGAGAUGAAGCCCUGUCAGCUGGGGCUCCUGAAGGACCUCGGUGAGCAGAACUCCUGCCAUCUGUGUUGCCCGUGCAGGGGGAGUGGGAGAGAAACUCUCAUCUGUGCUCAGCGACCGGGAUAUUGGAGAUAUUUGUUACUGCAGCAAAUCGAUUCCAUCCUGACUAAUACACUGGAGAAGCUGUCUGGCUGAGGCUUCCGUUAAUAUUAUGGAGGCAGUAAUUUAAUUUCAGUGCCCACUGUCCUAUCUGUCUCCUGAUCCAACACUCACCACUUGGUCCCCAGAUACAGAUGCCUCUUCCCUCCCUGGAAAUGAGGUUCCCAAGGCCCAGUGAAGGGGGCUGUUACCAGCUCUGC